AGAGUUUGAUCCUGGCUCAGGACGAACGCUGGCGGCGCGCCUAACACAUGCAAGUCGAACGAGCGAGAGAGAGCUUGCUUUCUCGAGCGAGUGGCGAACGGGUGAGUAACGCGUGAGGAACCUGCCUCAAAGAGGGGGACAACAGUUGGAAACGACUGCUAAUACCGCAUAAGCCCACGGUGCCGCAUGGCACAGAGGGAAAAGGAGCAAUCCGCUUUGAGAUGGCCUCGCGUCCGAUUAGCUAGUUGGUGAGGUAACGGCCCACCAAGGCGACGAUCGGCAGCCGGACUGAGAGGUUGAACGGCCACAUUGGGACUGAGACACGGCCCAGACUCCUACGGGAGGCAGCAGUGGGGAAUAUUGCACAAUGGGGGAAACCCUGAUGCAGCGACGCCGCGUGGAGGAAGAAGGUCUUCGGAUUGUAAACUCCUGUUGUUGAGGAAGAUAAUGACGGUACUCAACAAGGAAGUGACGGCUAACUACGUGCCAGCAGCCGCGGUAAAACGUAGGUCACAAGCGUUGUCCGGAAUUACUGGGUGUAAAGGGAGCGCAGGCGGGAAGACAAGUUGGAAGUGAAAUCCAUGGGCUCAACCCAUGAACUGCUUUCAAAACUGUUUUUCUUGAGUAGUGCAGAGGUAGGCGGAAUUCCCGGUGUAGCGGUGGAAUGCGUAGAUAUCGGGAGGAACACCAGUGGCGAAGGCGGCCUACUGGGCACCAACUGACGCUGAGGCUCGAAAGUGUGGGUAGCAGACAGGAUUAGAUACCCUGGUAGUCCACACUGUAAACGAUGAUUACUAGGUGUUGGGGGUAUCGACCCCCUCUGUGCCGCAGCAAACGCAAUAAGUAUUCCGCCUGGGGAGUACGGCCGCAAGGUUGAAACUCAAAGGAAUUGACGGGGGCCCGCACAAGCAGCGGAGCAUGUGGUUUAAUUCGACGCAACGCGAAGAACCUUACCAAGACUUGACAUCCUCUGACGCAUAUAGAGAUAUAUGUUCCCUUCGGGGCAGAGAGACAGGUGGUGCAUGGUUGUCGUCAGCUCGUGUCGUGAGAUGUUGGGUUAAGUCCCGCAACGAGCGCAACCCUUGUGAACAGUUGCCAGUAUUAAGUUAGGAACUCUGUUCAGACUGCCGUGGACAACACGGAGGAAGGUGGGGACGACGUCAAAUCAUCAUGCCCCUUACGUCUUGGGCUACACACGUGCUACAAUGGCCGUAACAGAGGGCAGCGAAAGGGCAACCUGGAGCGAAUCUCAAAAAAACGGUCUCAGUUCAGAUUGUGGGCUGCAACCCGCCCACAUGAAGACGGAGUUGCUAGUAAUCGCGGAUCAGCAUGCCGCGGUGAAUGCGUUCCCGGGCCUUGUACACACCGCCCGUCACACCAUGGGAGUUGAGAGCACCCGAAGUCGGUGACCUAACCGCAAGGAAGGAGCCGCCGAAGGUGAGAUUGAUGACUGGGGUGAAGUCGUAACAAGGUA
rnacentral:rRNA from 1 species